CAUCCGCCCGGGUACUACGAGCACAGCUUAAAACCCAAAGGACUUGGCGGUGCCUCAGAUCCACCUAGAGGAGCCUGUUCUAGAACCGAUAACCCCCGUUAAACCUUACCAUCCCUUGUUUUCCCCGCCUAUAUACCGCCGUCGUCAGCUUACCCCAUAAGGGAAUAACAGUAAGCAAAAUGAACAAAACCCAAAACGUCAGGUCGAGGUGUAGCGUACGAAAUGGAAAGAAAUGGGCUACAUUUUCUAUUACAGAACACUACGGAUAGUGCCCUGGAAACAGGCACUUGAAGGCGGAUUUAGCAGUAAAAAGAAAACAGAG
rnacentral:rRNA from 1 species